rnacentral:rRNA from 1 species
UACGUAGGGUGCAAGCGUUGUCCGGAAUUAUUGGGCGUAAAGAGCUUGUAGGCGGUUUGUCGCGUCUGCUGUGAAAUUUCGGGGCUCAACCCCGAACUUGCAGUGGGUACGGGCAGACUAGAGUGUGGUAGGGGAGACUGGAAUUCCUGGUGUAGCGGUGAAAUGCGUAGAUAUCUGGAGGAACACCGGUGGCGAAGGCGGCGUCCUGGACCAAUACUGACACUGAGGAGCGAAAGCCAGGGGAGCAAACGGG